UACGUAGGGUCCGAGCGUUGUCCGGAAUUACUGGGCGUAAAGAGCUCGUAGGUGGUUUGUCGCGUUGUUCGUGAAAACUCACAGCUCAACUGUGGGCGUGCGGGCGAUACGGGCAGACUGGAGUACUGCGGGGGAGACUGGAAUUCCUGGUGUAGCGGUGGAAUGCGCAGAUAUCAGGAGGAACACCGGUGGCGAAGGCGGGUCUCUGGGCCGAUACUGACGCUGAGGAGCGAAAGCGUGGGGAGCGAACAGG
rnacentral:rRNA from 1 species